CUCAGAACAAGGACCUGGAAUUGAUGUACAGAUAAAUAGCAUCUUUGUUGAAGUGGAUGUCGCUUGAAUUCUUUGAAAAUCUUUGGAGAAAACAGAAAGAAACUGAAACGGCAUAAAUGAAUUAAACCAGAAAAUUCCCCAUGGCUUCUUCAGAAGACUCUAUUGCUCUGAAUAAGGAAUUCCACCAGCACUGGAAGAAAAACGCUGCCUCCCCCCCAAAUUUUUAGCUUUCAACACAUAACUGAAAAACUCCCAGAAAGCUGAUCUAUCCAAGUUAAUCAUCACGGAGGAAUUGCAGUCUCAUUGAGUACUAAAGCAAAUCUUUCUUCUAUGUGAGCCAAAGAAAAGAAAAAACAACCUGUCAAAUACCUAUAAAGAGAUGGCUAUCAUCAUAUGGAAAUGUGAAGAACUGCUAUGUGGCACAUUCAUGAUCUAAAUGGGAAAGAAUUAAGUGUCAUGAUGUUCCAGAAGGCCUUAUAACAGAGUAAACAAGGGGGAAAAUUGUAACAGCUUGUCACCUGUUCCUGCACACUAGACUUCAGUGUAGUUACUGUAAAAAAUAUCCACGGAAAAUAUGCAGACAGUUCUUUGAAAAGCCCCAAAAUUAUGUGUAGGGGCUAAGACCAAAGAAGGAAAAAAGAAGCUUUUUUAUACUCACUCUCCACAACCCAUUGAUAAGUCUAUUAGAAGAGUAGCAGUUGAAUGUGAAUUUAUGUUUUGAACCAUCAUUUGGCAGA
rnacentral:lncRNA from 1 species